UACUGCUUACUGCUAGUGUGUACAAGAAAAGCCUAGGACACAGACUACCGAAAGCGUCACCAGUUGCAAUUGCAAAGUGAGAAAAGACCGCAUGCUAACGGAGAAGCGAAGAAGUGCAGCGGUUUGCGAGGGCCUAGGGAACAAACUUUUUGUGACGUCACAAUUUUCAAAAAGAAAACGACAGCACAAAGCAAAAGUACAGGGCAAUGGCCACCGAGAAGAGCACCAGUUGCUUUUCAAAAGUAUAUAGAGAAGGUCAUGUGCUAAAGGAGGAGCGGAAAGGAAAAAAGCUAUAGGCUGAAAUUCGAUUAGCUGCCUAUAGUAUCGCAAGACCUUCUCUAGAGAAGACGUACAAAAAGGAUUCUAGGAGCUAAACUUUGAUUCAAAAAGCCUGUGGUCAAAUUCUACUGUAGAGUUGGUAUUAUGCAAGACAUUCGGCAGCGCAUAAAACACCAUAAAUGUAACACAGCACGUUCAUGACGGCCUCGUCAUCCUAGGAAUUCCAGAUCCGUAUGUCGCACCACGUUACCAACGCAGUACUCAUCACAACAUCCACCUCUUGAUCAUGAACAGGCAGUUGGUGAUGAAGGUUUGGGAAACCUGCAGCUGUCGCCAAUUGCAAGCUCGGAACUACGUAUUUGUCGUGCACGUGACAAUUGUAAUUCAUUAUCACAAUAUUUAAAUUCAAUUUGUGGUAACAGGUGAAAUAGAUUUCCAAGCUGCAGGGCUAGCGACAGCUGCGGGUAGCGUACCCACUUUCAAGCAACAGGUGCAUGCUUUUGAACAAUCAUGACAAUGGGCUGCCCCAUGGCGCUGGGACUUCCAGUUAAACGACAGGUUCUUUUUUGAUUGAAAUAAUUCAAAAUUAACGAUGGGAAGACGAUUCUACCUGGAAUCAGAAGAAGGCAACUGCCAUCAAGGGCACUAAAUGUCAGGAAAAAUUAUAUGGAAUCAAGAAAACUGUCGAAUAUUUAACUUGUGAUUUUGUAAUUUGUAUUAUAGCAUUUUGUAAUUAACAUUAUUAUUUUGAUAAUAAAGGAAAUUUUUGCA